UACGGGGGGAGCAAGCGUUGUUCGGAUUUAUUGGGCGUAAAGCGCGUGUAGGCGGCUUGUUAAGUCGGUUGUGAAAACCCAUGGCUCAACCAUGGAAGGGCGUCCGAAACUGGCAAGCUAGAGUCCCGACGAGGAUGGCGGAAUUCCCAGUGUAGAGGUGAAAUUCGUAGAUAUUGGGAGGAACACCGGUGGCGAAGGCGGCCAUCUGGGAGGGCACUGACGCUGAGACGCGAAAGCGUGGGGAGCAAACAGG
rnacentral:rRNA from 1 species